ACGGAGGGUGCAAGCGUUGUCCGGAUUUAUUGGGUGUAAAGGGUGUGUAGGCGGAACGAUAAGUCAGGGGUGAAAUCCCGCAGCUCAACUGCGGAACUGCCUUUGAUACUGUCGAUCUUGAGUCCCGGAUGGGUGACUGGAAUUCGUGGUGUAGCGGUGAAAUGCGUAGAUAUCACGAGGAACACCAAAGGCGUAGGCAGGUCACUGGACGGGUACUGACGCUGAGGCACGAAAGUGUGGGGAGCAAACAG
rnacentral:rRNA from 1 species